AGGAGAGCAAGAAAAUGAAGCUCAAGAGUUUCCUGCUCCGGUAUUAUCCGCCAGGAAUUAUGUUGGAAUAUGAAAAACAUGGAGAAUUAAAGACGAAGUCAAUAGAUUUGCUUGAUCUUGGUCCCAGUACUGAUAUCAGUGCUUUAGUGGAAGAAAUCCAGAAGGCAGAACCUCUAAUCACAGCUUCACGAACAGAGCAAGUCAAACUUUUGAUACAGAGGUUACAAGAGAAACUUGGCCAGCACAGCAAUCAUACAUUCUAUCUUUUUAAGGUAAUGGAUUUACA
rnacentral:lncRNA from 1 species